GUGCUUGCUUUGGCAGCGCAUACACUAAAAUUGGAACAAUACAGAGCAGACAAACAUAGCACCUGUGCAAGGAUGACAUGCAAUUUUGUGGUGUUCCAUGUUUGU
ensembl:snRNA U6 U6 spliceosomal RNA